rnacentral:rRNA from 1 species
GCUUACGGCCAUACCAGCCUGGCUAUGCCUGAUCUCGUCUGAUCUCGGAAGCUAAGCAGGUUUGGGCCUGGUUAGUACUUGGAUGGGAGACCGCCUGGGAAUACCAGGUGCUGUAAGCU